UACGGAGAACUCAAGCGUUACCCGGAAUCACUGGGCGUAAAGCGUUGCGUAGGCGGUUUUGCAAGUCGGAUCUUAAAGGCCAAGGCUCAACCUUGGAAAUGGGUACGAUACUACAAAACUUGAGGAUGGUAGAGGUCAGUGGAAUUGCUGGUGUAGGAGUGAGAUCCGUAGAUAUCAGCAGGAACACCGAUGGCGAAGGCAGCUGACUGGGCCACUCCUGACGCUGAGGCACGAAAGCGUAGGUAGCGAGCGGG
rnacentral:rRNA from 1 species